CAUAAUUGCUAGGGGUGCCUACGGGCUGAGAGAUGAAAUCAGUAUUUCAUUAACCCUUAACCUGAUCUGGAUAAUGCCAGCGUAGGGAAGCGACUUGAAGUAAUA
rnacentral:ncRNA from 1 species